UACGAGUGCCUCAAGCGUUAUCCGGAAUCAUUGGGCGUAAAGGUUGUGUAGGUGGUUUUAUUAGUCUUCUGUUAAAUUCUUCGGCUUAACCGGGGGCAUGCAGAGGAAACGGUAAAACUAGAGGAUGCGAGGGGUUAGCGGAACUCAUAGUGUAGCGGUGAAAUGCGUAGAUAUUGGGAAGAACACCGGUGGCGCAAGCGACUUGCUGGGCCAUAACUGACACUGAGGAACGAAAGCUAGGGGAGCGAAUGGG
rnacentral:rRNA from 1 species